rnacentral:rRNA from 1 species
CGAACGCUGGCGGCGUGCUUAACACAUGCAAGUCGAACGCUGAAGCUUGGUGCUUGCACUGGGUGGAUGAGUGGCGAACGGGUGGGUAAUACGUGAGUAACCUGCCCUUGACUCUGGGAUAAGCCUGGGAAACUGGGUCUAAUACUGGAUACGACAUGUCACCGCAUGGUGGUGUGUGGAAAGGGUUUUACUGGUUUUGGAUGGGCUCACGGCCUAUCAGCUUGUUGGUGGGGUAAUGGCUCACCAAGGCGACGACGGGUAGCCGGCCUGAGAGGGUGACCGGCCACACUGGGACUGAGACACGGCCCAGACUCCUACGGGAGGCAGCAGUGGGGAAUAUUGCACAAUGGGCGGAAGCCUGAUGCAGCGACGCCGCGUGAGGGAUGACGGCCUUCGGGUUGUAAACCUCUUUCAGCACGGAAGAAGCGAAAGUGACGGUACGUGCAGAAGAAGCGCCGGCUAACUACGUG